AUACAAGGGUGAAAGAAAACAAGAAAGAGCCACACCGCUAUCUCUAUCUCUACCCCAAUGCAAAACACUCUAUAAAUAUAAGCAACUACAUAGUUUGUGCCACUGCUUUGUUAAGGGUGUUGGUGUCUCUUGGGUGGCCUUGGUUUAACCAAGAUAAGAUCACUUAUGGCCACCUGCUUUGUUCUUUCUCGUCUUCUUUUCUUGCUUCUCACUCUUUCAGAUUCAGCUGUCAGGGUCCUUGGUGCUGGGCUUGGAAUUAACUAUGGUCAGAUUGCCAACAACCUUCCAUCUCCCUCUCGCGUUGCUGUGAUGCUUCAAUCCCUCAAUGUCAGCAGGUUAAAACUCUAUGAUGCUGAUCCGAAUGUCCUACUUGCGUUUUCCAAUUCAAAUGUUGAGUUCAUUAUUGGGCUCGGGAAUGAGUACCUUCAAGACAUGACUGAUCCCAUCAAAGCUCAAAAUUGGGUUCAACAACAUCUUCAACCCCAUAUAACUCAAACCAAAAUCACCUGCAUCACUGUCGGAAACGAGGUGUUCAUGAGCAAUGAUACUCGGUUAUGGUCAAAUCUCCUCCCGGCGAUGAAAAUGGUGUAUAGCACUCUCGUUAAUCUUGGAUUAGAUAAACAAGUGAUUGUCACCAGUGCACAUUCUUUUAAUAUCAUAGGAAAUUCUUACCCUCCUUCAUCCGGGACUUUUCGGCAAGAUCUUGCCGAAUACAUCCAGGCAAUCUUGAAUUUUCAUUCUCAAAUCAAGUCACCAUUCCUUAUCAAUGCAUAUCCUUUUUUUGCAUACAAGGAUAAUCCAAACCAAAUAUCUCUAGAAUAUGUCCUUUUCCAGCCUAACCCAGGGAUGACAGAUCCGAACACAAACUUGCAUUAUGAUAAUAUGUUGUAUGCUCAAGUAGAUGCUGUGUAUUCAGCGAUUAAAGCAAUGGGGCAUACAGAUAUUGAAGUUAUGAUUUCGGAGACAGGUUGGCCAUCUAAGGGGGAUCCUGAUGAGGUCGGAUCGACUCCAGAAAAUGCAGCUCUAUAUCAUAGUAAUCUGUUAAAUAGAAUUCAGGCGAGGCAAGGUACACCAGCAAAACCAUCUGUGCCGAUAGACAUAUAUGUUUUUGCGCUUUUUAACGAGAAUUUAAAGCCCGGUCCAACAUCUGAAAAGAACUAUGGACUCUUCUAUCCUGAUGGUACUCCAGUUUACAACAGUGGAUUGCAGGGCUAUCUUCCUGGAAUAGUUUAUUAUUCUUCAGCAUCCACUAUAAAUGAAUGGUCUAUCUUCAGCUUGGUGAUCUUUGUUAUGUCCGUACUUAAGAUCACCUGAAUUUUGUGCAAGGAGGGAGAGAUAAAAAACAAAAGCAUCACCCAACAAAUCGCACGGCCACGAAAUUUUUCUAGUUUUGUUUCAUAUUCAACAUGCGAUAACAUCAACCGAUACUUGAGCAUAAAGUGGGCUGGUGGCUUUCCACGUCAUGGACAACCUGCCUUCACAUUGGAUACCUUCUUCCAUCAGCAAUGGCCCCAGCAAGGAUAAGAUUGGCAGAUCAUAGGCGAUUCCACUUGACCAUUCGAUAGAGUAAACUAGCUAGCUACUACAACGUUUGAUUCCCAGCAAAUAUUUAAUGAGCUGCCAUUGCAGAACCUAUCAAAGCUCUCUCUCGAUGGUCCCAAAUGCCAGGAGACUAAGAAAUCCAAGUGGUUAUAGAUGAUACCGAUUGGUUUGAUCUUGUUUGGUACUCAGAGACCAUGUCAUGUUGAGGAAACACAGAGCAAGUGGUGCUAGCAAUUGGCUUUUAAUGGCAGUCACAUCCAUAACACGUCACCCCACCAGCAUUUGGUGGGCUGGCAACAGGAGAGAGAGAGAGAAUGGCAGCAAGGGUGGUCUUGUUUCUAUCACAGCCAUAUGACGAGAGAUGUUGUUUCUCAAUAUCUUUACCUCAAUGGUCUAGCAAAGCAUCUAUACAAGUUUCGUGUGUACUAAUAUUGAAGGAAUGGCAUUAAUCACUUACAUACCAGGAUGUUGCAUCCUGGAUUGAUAGUUCAUCUAUAGAUAUUAAUUAUAGAAAAUUCUGAGGCAACAAGGCGAAAUUAAGAUAGGUCUUCUUCUUUCUCAGAAAAAAUACAAAAAAAAUAAAAAAUCAAGUAGGGUUCUUAAAUUCAAAUGUCUAAUGAAAAGAAAGAACUUGGUGGAGAUGUUUAGGGUUCAACUAGUUUUGUUUUAUAGAAUUUUAGAAUUAAUUAUUAGUAAUAUUCUUGUGUAUACAUCACAUGCUUUAUUGGUAUCUCACCUUACUUUGUUGAAAA